rnacentral:misc_RNA from 1 species
UAUACAACUGAGAAAGCUAUU